GUGAUGUGAUGGUGGUGUGAUGGAGGUGUGUGAUGUGAUGGUGGUGUGUGAUGUGAUGGAGGUGUGUGAUGUGAUGGUGGUGUGAUGGAGGUGUGUGAAUGUGAUGGAGGUGUGUGAUGUGAUGGUGGUGUGUGAUGUGAUGGAGGUGUGUGAUGUGAUGGAGGUGUGUGAUGUGAUGGUGGUGUGAUGGAGGUGUGUGAUGUGAUGGAGGUGUGUGAUGUGAUGGUGGUGUGUGAUGUGAUGGAGGUGUGUGAUGUGAUGGAGGUGUGUGAUGUGAUGGUGGUGUGAUGGAGGUGUGUGAUGUGAUGGAGGUGUGUGA
ensembl:lncRNA